rnacentral:lncRNA from 1 species
CACCCAGGCUUUUCUUCCCUCCGACCAGGCUAACCCCUUGGUAAGAAGACAGGGGGUAGUCAGGGGGGGUUGCCGAGCUGCAGGAAUGCCGGAAACAGCUCCUGCUGGAAAAUGGCUCCUGCUGUUUCUCCCACGCAGGCUCUUCUAUCCCUCCCAGCUGGGCUCCCCCCUCAAUUAAAAGACGGGGAAGUCAAGAGGAGUUCCCAAUUGUCUUGUCUUCUCUUCUCCCCUCUGUUCUCAGCAUGAGAGGUGAUCCCAGUUUGAAACAACUGGAGCNGCAAAACAUGGGAAGUCAGGGGGUUUCCUGAGGAGCAGCUGGCUGGGUCUCCAGCGGCUGAGAGAUGCAGAGGGAAAUGCGGAAAGCGGAAUCUCUUUCUUCUCCCCUCUGUUGUUGGGUCAGGAGGUGUUGUUGGACCCCACCAGCAGCUGGCGCGAGUCCUCUCAGUCUGCUGCUUUGGAUGUCGCUUCACGUUCCUGACUGGGGAGUUGGGCACAGGAAAAAGCUUUUAUACUACGUGCCCCCUAGCGGUUGUUCAGAAUCAGGAGCAAUAAUGGGAGCACAACCCAUGGUGCUUAGGCUGAGUCCCUCAAGAAUGCACUAAGUCAGAAUUAUUGUGGAAAACCUUCAAAGAAAGAAAGGAUACAUUUCACCGGAACUUGAAACUCCACAAAAAUGGGAUCUGGUUUUGUACAAACUCAGGAUAAGCUCUUUUUUAAAAUGGCAUUUUGAACCAGUUCAGGACACUUGAAAUGCCCUAUUUCAAGGGCAAAAUGUUUCUGUAUUGUGUUUAACACAUUGCAUAUGACUAUCCAGCAUUUCCUGCUUAUUAAAAAAAAAC